CGGGGCGUGGCGCUGCUGGGCUCUCCAGGGAAGGUGCAACUCGAGAAAGCUCACCCGGGUUUCUAAAGCCCAGCGCGGCUCUGUAGCCUCCUUUCAGCGGGGCUCCGGCCGUGCACGCGUUUAGGAACAUUUCAGAAUGCUGAAAACCCUCCAUCCCCGAGGUGUCCGUAACUCUGAGGUUCUACUGUGCACGUGGGUCAGAAUUGCCAGGAGGAAAAGGCUCCAUACUCUGAUGCCUGUGGCUUACGACCAUCAAAAUCUGUCAUUACAAUGGGGGAGAAUAGAGUAACACAGGAAACUGCUGGGAGGCACGAGAAAGAGCAGAACAUAUGGAACCCAUUCAUUGAUGAAAGCUAUGAGAAGUACUAUUCAGCUAUGAAACCUAUGACUAGAUACUGCAUUGAGGAG